UUUUGGGUAGUAUAAGUAAAAUACGCUGUUUUUUGAAAACAGAAAGGAAAAUUAGAUUUUUCCCUAAAAUCCA
rnacentral:tRNA from 1 species